rnacentral:rRNA from 1 species
AGUGAACGCUGGCGGUAGGCCUAACACAUGCAAGUCGAACGGCAGCACAGUAAGAGCUUGCUCUUACGGGUGGCGAGUGGCGGACGGGUGUGGAAUACAUCGGAAUCUACUUUUUCGUGGGGGAUAACGUAGGGAAACUUACGCUAAUACCGCAUACGACCUACGGGUGAAAGCAGGGGAUCUUCGGACCUUGCGCGAUUGAAUGAGCCGAUGUCGGAUUAGCUAGUUGGCGGGGUAAAGGCCCACCAAGGCGACGAUCCGUAGCUGGUCUGAGAGGAUGAUCAGCCACACUGGAACUGAGACACGGUCCAGACUCCUACGGGAGGCAGCAGUGGGGAAUAUUGGACAAUGGGCGCAAGCCUGAUCCAGCCAUACCGCGUGGGUGAAGAAGGCCUUCGGGUUGUAAAGCCCUUUUGUUGGGAAAGAAAAGCAGCAGGUUAAUACCCCGCUGUUCUGACGGUACCCAAAGAAUAAGUACCGGCUAACUUCGUG